rnacentral:rRNA from 1 species
AUUGAACGCUGGCGGAAUGCUUUACACAUGCAAGUCGAACGGUAGAGGGGGCAACCCCUUGAGAGUGGCGAACGGGUGAGUAAUAUAUCGGAACGUGCCCAGUCGUGGGGGAUAACGUAGCGAAAGUUACGCUAAUACCGCAUACGAUCUAAGGAUGAAAGCGGGGGAUCGCAAGACCUCGCGCGACUGGAGCGGCCGAUAUCAGAUUAGGUAGUUGGUAGGGUAAAGGCCUACCAAGCCAACGAUCUGUAGCUGGUCUGAGAGGACGACCAGCCACACUGGAACUGAGACACGGUCCAGACUCCUACGGGAGGCAGCAGUGGGGGAUUUUGGACAAUGGGCGAAAGCCUGAUCCAGCCAUUCCGCGUGCAGGAUGAAGGCCCUCGGGUUGUAAACUGCUUUUGUACAGAACGAAAAGGUUUCUACUAAUACUAGGAGCUCAUGACGGUACUGUAAGAAUAAGCACCGGCUAACUACGUGCC